GGAAAGGUGGCCGAGUGGUUGAAGGCACUGGUCUUGAAAACCAGAGAUGGAAACAUCCGCAGGUUCGAAUCCUGUCCUUUCCGCCA
rnacentral:tRNA from 1 species